CGGUACCCAAAGCGCAUGCGCGAGCGGCGCCCAGACAGGGGGCGAAGCCAAGAGUGCGCCGGCCCCUCCCGUGCGCCAAAGGCCAAUCGCUCUGUGGCUCUGUUUCUUGCGCUGACGUCACAGGUGACAUUGCCCUUUGGCCGUGACCCCUCUAAUGGACUUCCCAGUCUCUGCUUUAUGAAAGGAACGCAGAUUCAGAUUCAGCGAGUGGUUGCUGGACUGUGUGACCUACUUUGAUGUCAGACUGGACACGUAGUAGAGCUCGGGCCUGACAUUGCUGUGUAGGAGAAUGAACUGCAUGGGGGGAAAGGCUUGAAGCAGAGAGGCCAGUAAGGAGGCUGUUGGAGGCAUCCAGGAGAGCAAUAGGAUGGCCAGGAUUAGGGUGAGUAAUGGUGCAUAGGAAAUAAUCUUAGGUUGGGUUUUAGAGACGGAGCCCAGGAGGAUCCAGUGAUAACACCGAGAGUGUGCAUGGGGGUGGGAGGGCAGGGACUAGUCCUCAGUUUGCCUACCUCUCCUUCCUCCCCUAGCAGACCCAGCUGCCUCCACUCAGAGCCCAUCCUUUGGAAUUAAUAGCUUACUACUAAUAGACCCAACCUGAUCUUUUCUUAAAAUUGGGAGCCAUCUCACCACAAACCAUGAAAAGAUAAUUUUGGCUUUACUAUAAACUACUGAAAAUUCUGAACCUGCUUGGAAUGCCUGCCCGUGCCUUGAACUCACCCAUGCCUGGCUCUCUGACCAGACAGCAGCCCUCUCUAAAACUAGUGAUGCCUCACAAAUAUUGGCCUUCCCUGGGCAGAUACUGACCCUCUCUGAGGCUCUAAUGACCUUCAUGAAUUCUGAUGUCGGGGCCAGCAAAAAAUUAGUGUGAUGCUCCUCAGAGUUCUGUUAUCUGUAACCCCCCUUCGUGAAACUUUCUGGGCUAUAAAGCUGGGCUGCAGGAAAGCUGGGGUGGUGUCUUGUUCCCGCGGUUUUGGGUGGGAGAGGCAGCCCGGCCAGUCGAAAUAAUAAGCUUGCUUUAAUUUGAUUUUAAUUGGAGUCAGUAGUCUGUUCUUGUGCCCUGGUCUAACAUUUUGGAGUUCCCCAGCGAAAUGACCCUGCCCGACCAGACCACAAGACCAGACUGCUGGAAAUUCUAAUCUGGCCUUCGCUCCAGGCCUCCAGGCUGGAGAGCCACUCUAGGGGGUGCGCACCUUGAGACAUUCCAAGGCCUUGGAGUGAGCCUCAGUCCCCAGAGCACUGCAGUGAACUGCCGCACUAUAACUAUCAGCAAGCACCUGGUGGAGGAGGCCUCCAUAGAGGUGUUGCUUUAAGAACACAACCUGAUGGGGCUGGGAAUAUGGCUCAAGCAGUAGUGUGCUCGCCUGGCAUGCGUGUGGCCCAGGUUCGAUCCUCAGCACCACAUACAAACAAAGAUGUUGUCUCCACCAAUAA